UAACACGNGGGCAACCUGCCUCAUANAGGGGAAUAGCCUUCCGAAAGGGAGAUUAAUACCGCAUAAGAUUGUAGNUUCGCAUGAAGUAGCAAUUAAAGGAGCAAUCCGCUAUGAGAUGGGCCCGCGGCGCAUUAGCUAGUUGGUGAGGUAACGGCUCACCAAGGCGACGAUGCGUANCCGACCUGAGAGGGUGAUCGGCCACAUUGGGACUGAGACACGGNCCAGACUCCUACNGGAGGCAGCAGUGGGGAAUAUUGCACAAUGGGGGAAACCCUGAUGCAGCAACGCCGCGUGAGUGAUGACGGCCUUCGGGUUGUAAAGCUCUGUCUUCNGGGACGAUAAUGACGGUACCUGAGGAGGAAGCCACGGCUAACUACGUGCCGGCAGCCGCGGUAAUACGUANGUGGCGAGCGUUGUCCGGAUUUACUGGGCGUAAAGGGAGCGUAGGCGGACUUUUAAGUGAGAUGUGAAAUACUCGGGCUCAACUUGAGUGCUGCAUUUCNAACUGGAAGUCUAGAGUGCAGGAGAGGAGAAUGGAAUUCCUAGUGUAGCGGUGAAAUGCGUAGAGAUUAGGAAGAACACCAGUGGCGAAGGCGAUUCUCUGGACUGUGACUGACGCUGAGGCUCGAAAGCGUGGGGAGCAAACAGGAUUAGAUACCCUGNNAGUCCACGCCGUAAACGAUGAAUACUAGGUGU
rnacentral:rRNA from 1 species